ensembl:lncRNA
GGGGUUUUUCAGAGUUUAUUUGUAGUACCAACAAACUUUGGUAAUUUAGCAAAUUGUAGCAAUAAAAAUGCACUCUCGACAAGGUCUCAGUGAGCUUGUGACAAAUAAAUAGCACAGUGAUACUAAUUUACACAACAAAAAUACUACUAUAAAUUUCAUAAUCAAAAGGACAGAAAUGAAUUAUAACGCUUCUUCUUCUCACUACUUUACACUGGGAUCUUUGUCUUUUUAAAUAAAGCUUUUCCAUUUUUGAAGUACCACGUAGCAUGUUGUCCUUUAAUAAUAAAUAGAUUGUUGUCCAUUUCAACAUGCAAAACUGCUUUGUUUUUGAGAAUGUUCCACAUAUACUAUAUACACUUAAAACAAAACAAUUUAAAAAAAAAUCCAAUUUGUCUUUCACAAACUCUCUUUAAUAUCACACAUCCAAGAAGCUUAAUGUAUAUUAUCAAAAUGAUUUAUGGUUGUUGUAGUGUUGAUAAAGAAACAUGAUCAGCAUAUACCAACUUUGAACAUAGUAAUAUACUCAAUUUGGUGUUAUACAUAGUUUAUUUUUUUAUUUUUUUAAGUCUAUGCUUUUAGGAAAGGUUCACUUGGACACAUGCUCAGAGAAGGUUCCUGUUGAUAAAGCUUGGACACACAGCUGAAUGCCUAUUGAGUCCUCUACUGGUUCACUGACUAUUUCAAAAUCAGUGACUUGGACUAUAAUACAUAUACCUUUUCCCCUUUUAGAAUUCAGGUCAAACAAAUAUUUCCAUUUCAUUAUAUAUACACAAAUGUGGACAUAAAUAAGUAUUCUUCUGAGCAUAGAUGCAACGACAUUAUUAUUAUAAUUGUUUUCACAAACAUCUUGCAGAAAUCACUCCCAUACCGUUCUUAACCAUGUUGUAGUUUAAGGUCCCCCUGUUUCUCCAAUACACGGGGAAAAGAAAAGUGUCCAAUUAUGUCUUCAAGUUUGUCCUUCUCUCGUAGUUCCUGGCUACAAGCCAAUCAGUGGAGAUUAUUUUUGCGUGGUACCUUUCCGUUUUUCCCUUCAGUUAUUUUCUUGAGGCAAAAGUUUGUUUUAUGGCUGUACAGUUAUGUAUGGAGUAUCCCCUCAUCCG